GCAGUUGGGGGAGGGGUCACAGAGGCAGGGGGGAGAAGGUUCCGUGGCAGUUGUGGGGAGGGUCACAGAGGCAGUGAGGAAGAUUCCGUGACAGUUGGGAGAAGGGAGGCCAGAAGGUUCCGUGGCAGUUGGAAGAAAUGGGUCACAGACGUAUCUGGGGCCCAGGGUGGAGCAUGGUAUGGAAGUCAAUUAGGAUCUAGGGUUGCCAACACUGUAUUUCAAAAACAGACUGUUUUCUUAGCACCCCUGCCCCCUCCCUCUUCCCAAUAUUAAUUAUGAAGAAGAACUCACCUAUGUUCACCAGGAGUAUUUCUUGCUGCUUUUUGCAGCACUCAGCAACUCCCAAUCUUGUACAGAGAUGAAAAAAUAAGGGAUGUCCCUUGUAAUACAGGACUGUUGGCAGCCCUAGGACUCCCAAGGUAUUAGAGCCCAUGUGAACUAGCAGAUGAAAUGCCUGCUGCAUUUGCCUCAGUUGGCCCUUUGUCGGUGAUCGUUGCCAGAUUAGGCUUGGUGACCACAGCACUCUUCGACCUCCUGAGAGGACACAGUUUCCAGAAGUCUGGGAGGGACCAAGAGUGAAAAUGCACGAGCGUCCUGGACUUCACUCAUCAACAGGAAAGCUGUCGGAUCCCUGUAAACCAUCAAUCACAGACUCCUGCAGGGAAGAACAACAGGUACCUGAGUUCAGCUGAACCUGCUGGAUAGGAAUGGUUGAUCCACAGGGUGCUGUAGCCCAGGGAUGGUCUAAAUGUGGAAGAAUUGUGGUAAAGGCAAAAGACCUCAAAUGGUGCAUUCAGAGAAACUGGGAAGAGGACAAACUUACAGCUAGCCCUGUAACCAUGACAGCCCCAACCACUCAAACACACCAGAAUCCAAAUGGGAAGAUUAUGACUCCCAGCUCGAGGAUGGGGGAACAGAGGCGGUGAAGGCACCUGCUGCUGGAUCAGGUGUGAUCCAACAUGUUGAAUGGCCCCUGAGAAAUUAAUUUAAAGUGCUCAUGGACAACCACACAGGCUACUUUUCUGGUGCUCAGGCUGUGAUGCAUGAUGAAUGAUUUGCUCCUUUUGUUUAGGAGGAUCUAUUGUAAUGGCCCAGGCUGGCUGGAAGUAUUGAUGGAAAGAGACUAAACUAUUAUAAAGAAUCUGAAUACACCAGAAGGCAAUGAUUGUGAUUCCUAGAUCCUGGUUUCCAACAGAAGUGAGACUAGACAGCUUUUCGUCACAGGCCUCCUUUUGCAACAUGCAAUCAGGGAAGAAGAAAAAAAGCCACUCCAGUGCACAUCUCCAUUCUAUUGCACACAAUCAAAUGUUUCCGUAAGAUGCAAUUCAGACCUGAUCCAAAACAUAUUGAAAUCAAUGGGAUUAGGUCUUUAACCACCUUCAAGUUUGCAGAAGAACACUACAGCAUGUUAAAGCAACCAGCACACUGCUGGUGACAUACAAAUAAUAAACAACAACUUCUAUGCAAUUUAUCCUGACCCUUCACCAAAGCAUAAAGGAAAAAUAAUUUUGAUCUAAGGAUAUUUUUCUACUUCAUUAAAAUAUUUGAACUAUACCCCUUCACAACCCCAAAAUGUCUAGCGGGAAACCAGUCUUAAAGCAGACAGCCAAAUGACAAGCAACAAAAGAAAAAAUGAGACAUGGUCCUUCAAUGAGGGAUCAUACUAGAAAAUGGGGAUACUUUAAAAGAGGUCACCCUUAGUAGAGUGAAUACCUGUUGAAGGUGUCCUUAGUGCAGGUUCCACUGAUUUGACCCAGAAGCUUACAGUGAAAAGGGCAAACUGAAUUUUAAGACAAAACCUGCUGCUACUGGGAAGAGUAAGCCUUUGGCAUGGAACAUGGCUGAGAGUUGUUGCACUCUAUUUGCUGAAUUUCAUAUCCUGUAAUUUCACAAUUUCAAUCCAACAUCAUCAGGCACAGUGAACCACUAUAGUGCAUUUUAGCUGUGUUGAGCGUAAAUUAAAACCAAUCCAAUAAAAACUAAUAUUUCCCCUGCCUCUUCCUUGCAAUGACUUAACAUAAUUGUCUCCACCUUCUUGGCAUCAGAUGAGGCAAAGCAAAAUGACCAAAAGGAAUUUAAUAGAGGACUUAAAAGUUACUGACGUCAUAUCUUUGCCUGUCCCAUGCUUGCCCAAGACACACGUUUUGUAAAUAUUUUAAACCCUCUUUGUUACAGAUUUUAAAAUAUCAAAAGUUUUAGAAAACACACAUUUGGGUACCAAAAAAGUCACAAGUCAGAUCUUCAGCUGGUGUAAAUCAAUGUAAUUCCAGUAGAGCAACAGAGAUUCACAGGAGCUGCAGAUCUGGCCAGAACUCCCCAUAAUCCAAUAUGGAUCUCUGAUGGAUAUGAACAUGUACCAACAGGGACAACUUACAGACCAGGGACUUGGCAGCUCUGGUUGCACUACAUUCCAUGGACACCCUCCACCCCCAAUAGGGUGGGCAGGAUGUUGAGGAUCAAUCUCAACCCUGGAAUAAGCAGAAACAGUUCUCCUAAAGGCAAUGGAGUUGCUCUGGUUACAUGAGGGCUGAAUGUGGCCCUUAAAUAUUUGAUUAAAUUCCCAUUUAUUUCCAAAGGUUGUUCAGAAAGCCAUGGAGUGGUGGGGAUCUUUGUAAUAAAACAAGGUGGAAUUCACCUCUGUACAGAAGCAUGGAUGGCCCAAACACCACUUAAGUCCCACUUAAACCCUGUUUAGAGAGCUUAAGAGGUGUAUGGAUCAUCUACUGACCCUCUGCUCAAGGAUAAGUUCCAC